AAAUUGAAGAGUUUGAUCAUGGCUCAGAUUGAACGCUGGCGGCAGGCCUAACACAUGCAAGUCGAACGGUAACAGGAAGCAGCUUGCUGUUUCGCUGACGAGUGGCGGACGGGUGAGUAAUGUCUGGGAAACUGCCUGAUGGAGGGGGAUAACUACUGGAAACGGUGGCUAAUACCGCAUAACGUCGCAAGACCAAAGAGGGGGACCUUCGGGCC
rnacentral:rRNA from 2 species